GUUGUGAUCUUGUGGUGGAGUUUGCUGGGGAGCUAAUUGAGAGGCCGCUGCAGAAGUUUUGGGAGCGCUUUUGUGGGAGGAAAGGCGUGCGCGUCGUCGAGGAUGCUGUUUGUCGACCGGGCAGUCUUGACAUGGCGGUGUGGCCCCUCGAGCCUCUACGUCCCCCACCGGAUCUAUACUUUGGUAAUAUCAUGCUUUCAUCCAUGGAUGCUUCUUUGUUUUUCCAGGACGGCAGGAAGGAUGCAGCGAAGUUUUUACCCGAGUGCUGUGCUAACGCGUCCAUUUGUUACUAACAGGGAAGGCUCAAAACUCCACCGAACUUGGUGUUCCCAACAUCUUGGACCUUGUCUGCAGGCUGACGGAGAGUGACUACUUGUUCUACUUGCCAGUGAAGAACCUGGGAUGGAACUUGGGGUGCUUGCACACGGACAAAAGACUUGGUAGAGGAGGAAUACUCAAUACUUGAAGGUGACAGGAACGCCUUGCCUGGAGUGUCACGAACGUUCCCGGACGAGGAAUUUCCAGUGUCACCAUUCCGUGUAAUCGAGGCCAGGCUGCUGUUGCGCGGGAUCCGGUCCAACCGGCUCCUGAGCUCACUGGUGCUGCACCGCCCGCCAAACUCAGCACUCCCGCACUACUACACGAUUGUCAAUGCCAGCGCUCACGCGCGUCUCUGGCUCGGCCGCUACGACCUCCGGGUCUACUACGAUCACAGCUUGACAUGGAAGUUAACAUGCGCUCGCUUCUCGCUCGUUAUAACUGCUUCCUGAUCGUUUCUAGACGGUGAGAUGUGUACCCCUGGAGCUGCUUUGGCCGAACAAGAGGCUCUGAGCGAUGGUUUCAUGGUGGAGCGCCAGCCGUCGUUAGUGGAGGUUAAACUGCGACUGUACAUUAGACCUGAUGUGGUACGUACGUACGUCGUGUGUUGUCUUGUA